rnacentral:rRNA from 1 species
GUAGGUGGCAAGCGUUGUCCGGGAAUUAUUGGGCGUAAAGCGCGCGCAGGCGGUUCUUUAAGGCUGAUGUGAAAGCCCACGGGCUCAACCGUGGAGGGUCAUUGGAAACUGGAGAACUUGAGUACAGAAGAGGAAAGCGGAAUUCCACGUGUAGCGGUGAAAUGCGUAGAGAUGUGGAGGAACACCAGUGGCGAAGGCGGCUUUCUGGUCUGUAACUGACGCUGAGGCGCGAAAGCGUGGGGAGCAAACAGGAUUAGAUACCCUGGUAGUCCACGCCGUAAACGAUGAGUGCUAAGUGUUAGGGGGGUUUCCGCCCCUUAGUGCUGCAGCUAACGCAUUAAGCACUCCGCCUGGGGAGUACGGCCGCAAAGGCUGA